GUUAGCAAAAUCCUUUUGUCUAUCCACCAUUAAAUCCCCACCGUUCACUCUGAUCAAACAUGCUGGAAGUCGUUCAAUCUUUUCAUGGUGUUGGUCUACGCCAGGAUUACAAUACUUGUGGUCUCUGUCACACCCUGAUGGCAACGCCAAAGACCACAUAAGAUCAGUUCCCGCCAAACUCAAACUUCGGUCAUCUACCACACCAAUUUCCCCUUGCGUACGCUCAACCCCACCAAAAAAAGGUUGGUCAAUUAUAAGCCCUGCAAUCAUAAGCGGCUCAAGAUCAAGAUCAGGUGCACGUAGACCCGCGUUGUACACUAGGUUUCCUCCAGCACUAGUACCCAUUAAGUACACUUUAGAAAAGUCAGCAACAUCAGUCAACCUGGGCAAAAAAGUAAUUUAAUUUUAUUACUAUAAAGUAUAAUAAAAGUAACAUUUGUCGUUAAAAAAAAGUAACAUCAGUCAACCAGUCGUCGCUAGUGUUGACUUUUGACUUCACCGCCUGGUCCCGCACCCAAAGGAUUGCGUCCACACCGUCUUCAUACGCCGCAGGGAGACGGUGUUCAGGGGCAAGGCGGUACUCGACGGAUACGACGAGUGCCGGAGAGUUAGCGGAUAUGUUGGAGCAGGUAAGGUGUAUGGGGGUGCUGGCGGCGCUGACGUAGACGAAACCGCCACCGUGAAAGUAGAUGAUGAUGGGGAGUUUUUGGGUGGAGGGUGCGAUGGGACGGGGUGGCCGGUGAGGAUGGAAAGGUGGGUCGGGCCAGAGAUCCAUCGGGGUUUAAGGUCAAGUUCAGGAUUUUGAAACGAUCCGGAUUGGGUGGUUGAGAUUGAGAUGCCAUUUUUAUUGGCUACAAAACAUGAAAAUAUGUUUUUUUCUUUUUUUGGAGGGAAAUAUAUAUAGAAGAUGUGUAACGUGAGAAGAGAACGGUUCGGUAGAGU
rnacentral:lncRNA from 1 species